rnacentral:tRNA from 1 species
GGAUGUGGCUUAGUGGUAGAGCGCUUGCCUCACAUGUAUGAGGCACUGGGUUCGAUUAUCAGCACCA